CAUGCAAGUCGAACGAUGAACCNCNGAGCUUGCUCUAGGGGAUUAGUGGCGAACGGGUGAGUAACACGUGAGUAACCUGCCCUUGACUCUGGGAUAACCUCCGGAAACGGAAGCUAAUACCGGAUAUGACGUACGGAGGCAUCUCCUGUACGUGGAAAGAAUUUCGGUCAAGGAUGGACUCGCGGCCUAUCAGGUAGUUGGUGAGGUAACGGCCCACCAAGCCUACGACGGGUAGCCGGCCUGAGAGGGUGACCGGCCACACUGGGACUGAGACACGGCCCAGACUCCUACGGGAGGCAGCAGUGGGGAAUAUUGCACAAUGGGCGCAAGCCUGAUGCAGCAACGCCGCGUGAGGGAUGACGGCCUUCGGGUUGUAAACCUCUUUUAGUAGGGAAGAAGCGAAAGUGACGGUACCUGCAGAAAAAGCACCGGCUAACUACGUGCCAGCAGCCGCGGUAAUACGUAGGGUGCGAGCGUUGUCCGGAAUUAUUGGGCGUAAAGAGCUCGUAGGCGGUCUGUCGCGUCUGCUGUGAAAACCCGAGGCUCAACCUCGGGCCUGCAGUGGGUACGGGCAGACUAGAGUGCGGUAGGGGAGAAUGGAAUUCCUGGUGUAGCGGUGGAAUGCGCAGAUAUCAGGAGGAACACCGAUGGCGAAGGCAGUUCUCUGGGCCGUAACUGACGCUGAGGAGCGAAAGCGUGGGGGAGCGAACAGGAUUAGAUACCCUGGUAGUCCACGCCGUAAACGUUGGGCGCUAGAUGUGGGGACCAUUCCACGGUUUCCGUGUCGCAGCUAACGCAUUAAGCGCCCCGCCUGGGGAGUACGGCCGCAAGGCUAAAACUCAAAGGAAUUGACGGGGGCCCGCACAAGCGGCGGAGCAUGCGGAUUAAUUCGAUGCAACGCGAAGAACCUUACCAAGGCUUGACAUAUACGAGAACGGGCCAGAAAUGGUCAACUCUUUGGACACUCGUAAACAGGUGGUGCAUGGUUGUCGUCAGCUCGUGUCGUGAGAUGUUGGGUUAAGUCCCGCAACGAGCGCAACCCUCGUUCUAUGUUGCCAGCACGUAAUGGUGGGAACUCAUAGGAGACUGCCGGGGUCAACUCGGAGGAAGGUGGGGAUGACGUCAAAUCAUCAUGCCCCUUAUGUCUUGGGCUUCACGCAUGCUACAAUGGCCGGUACAAAGGGCUGCAAUACCGUAAGGUGGAGCGAAUCCCAAAAAGCCGGUCUCAGUUCGGAUUGAGGUCUGCAACUCGACCUCAUGAAGUCGGAGUCGCUAGUAAUCGCAGAUCAGCAACGCUGCGGUGAAUACGUUCCCGGGCCUUGUACACACCGCCCGUCAAGUCAUGAAAGUCGGUAACACCCGAAGCCG
rnacentral:rRNA from 1 species